GGGGGUAUAGCUCAGUGGUAGGGCACUGAGCAUGCACAAGAUCCUGGGUUCAAUCCCCAGUGCCUCUG
rnacentral:tRNA from 1 species